GAAACAAUUCGUCUUUUGGUGGGGGGAAUGAAAAGGAGUGAAGAGGUUGGGUCUGUACCUCUAGGUGCAGUGGGAAUCCAUCAAAGACAAAGUCAAGAUGUGUCAGGAGUUAGAGCUGUGUCAUUUAUGUACAUUUUAGAUGCUCCAUAGAUGCAGAUGAGUCUGGCAUGUCGCUUCUGUCAUUUCCUAUGCAGCAGCGUAUGUGUAGUAACAAAAUGUGAGGAUGGAACUUGCAUUACCUGUUACAUACCUUGACACAGAAAGUCCUGGGGUUCGUAGAUAUGGGCUCACCCUGGAAGACUUAGAGCUAACUAUUAUCUGAGCUCUCACUGUGAAUGUUUGCUGUAACAACCGUGGAAAUGUAUAUCCAAAACACUGAGUCAGAAACCAGCUAUAAAGAACUUCUAAGUUGCCCGCAAAUCCAGAUGCUGCAUUUUUUGCAAGACCCUCCACCAGCGAAAAGAUUACUGCUCACUGAAGGCUCAGAUGAUAGUUAGCGUUUUUUAGCAAUAAAGUAUUUUUUAAUUAAGAAUUCACGUGACAUUUCAGUGGAUUAGUAACUGCACAGAAACGUGCCCACAGCUGAGUUCGUAAUUAUUACAUAAAUAGGUAAUUUAAUAGGUGCUUAAAAUGCCUUCUAUUUUGCAGCAAUCCUUGAUAGUUAUAUGUGGUUAUUUGGGGGAAAUUGGCUGAAGUUCUUUGAAGGGCUGGGAAGUUAUUUUUCUGAUUUAAAAUAAUGAAACAUAGACUCGCACUGUCUGACAAUUCUAGCCAUCUGUCAACUUUUUACGAAAGGAUGACAUUUCAGUAAUGAGGGGGGCGUCCAUCUGAUGUUCACCCUACGUAUAAUACAUAAAUGUGGCCGAAGUUGGGGGGGAGGGGCUGCUGUUUGGUACUGAGCUACUUUAAUUGUUGCUUGUAUCAUUUGUGAGGAAGUCUCUCCCAUAAAAUGAUUCUUAAAAGACACUUGACAUUUGAGAAGCAAUCACCUGUGAUCCUUUUAAGUCCUUAAGUUUGUCAUUACCUUUACAGCAUAUACUUUCCUCCGUAAAAGUUUUAGAUUCUAAGACCAGCAGAGAGCCACAGAGUCAUGUUGUGCUGUAAUAUCAGAUUGUCCAUCAAGCUCUCUCAGGGCUAAGAGGGUAACUUCUACUCACCAGCCUCCAGGCCAUACGAACCCAAUUUAUGUUUUGGAACAUUUAAAAUACAUAUGUUGUAGAUCUUUGGGCUCUCUUAAGAAUAGUCAAAACUGUAAUAUUAAAUAUCAAAGGACUCUUGCAGUAUGGGGGAGGAGCAUUCUAAACCACACGCAUCUUCCCUACCUGCCAGAUUCUCCUAAGCCCCCUCCCACUCUUCCCAGGUUAGAAGUCACCAUGGAGCACUGUUACUAAUGGGAUUAUGUGUUGGAUCCCUCAGGUGUAUUAGGACAGAAGAAAGGUUGAGAAUGACUCAUAUGUAUUUUUUGUGUGUGUGUGAGGAAGAUCAGCCCUGAGCUAACAUCUGCCAAUCCUCUUUUUGCUGAGGAAGGCUGGCCCUGGGCUAACAUGUGUGCCCACCUUCCUCUACUUUAUAUGGGACGCUGCCACAGCAUGGCCUGACAAGCAGUGCAUCAGUGCACGCCUGGGAUCCAAACCCAGGCCGCUAGCAGCGGAGCACACGCACUUAACUACCACGCCAUGGGGCUAGCCCCGAUUUGUAUGUAUUUUUAACCUCCCCUUUCUCCCCCUGCAACACACACAAAUUUGAAAGCUGUGUUGCUUUCUACAGAAGAGGAUUUUCUUUUAAUUUGAAAGACAGUUUGAUGUCUUUUUUCUCUUUUCAGGUAUAUGAGCUCUUUGAAAGCAGAUGCUGUUGUUUCCAUGUUCUGAUCCUUUAGAGAUUAUGAAGGCACAAUUCCUGCCUUUGAUUUGCUUAACUUAACAGUCAAGUGGAAUAGAGGCAGGCCAGUGGUUGCAGUGUAGCCACUUAAGUGUGCUAAAAGAGAUUUAUCAGCAGGUUGCAGGGAAACAUGGCCUUGAGGGUAGUGAUCCAGCUUGGCAGGUCAGGCGCGCGUGCGUGCACGCAACGAGCUGUAAGAUUGUGAAGGUGAGUCAUUAAUGCAGGAAUCUGAACUUCUGUUUAUAGCAGUUGGCAGUUUUGAGAGGAGAUAAGAGGUGUUGUGUCAGACUGGGAGUGUGCUGGAAAACAUGCAAGUUUUAAAGUGAACGGUUUUUCAGUUAACACAAAACCUUAAGUGAUGAGAUGAGGGGCAAGCUGUUUAGAGGCGUCCAUGGGGCACAAUACUAAAUUGUCUCUGAGAAUUGCUUCACAAGUGGAGUCAUUUCCUCUGCAUCUUGACUCGGAAGCUUGAAAAUGCUUUGUGUGCAGAGCUUUAAGUGACAACUAGAAACUUGAACUGGACAACCAGGAAUGCGGCUGAUGGGGCUGGGCAUUGAGGUCACAAAAGGGCAUGAGAGCAGUGAGGCAGGCUGCCCAAAAGCUGCUGCCUGGAGACUACCUCUCCCACCAGUGCUCAGCUUUGCACCUUGGUGGGCUGAUGUUUUCUUUUAAAAAAUUGUGCAUUUGCUAUAUGUCAUAUACUGUUAGGCGUUCUCAUGUUUGUCAUUAAAUCUCCCGAUCCUAUAAGAGAAGUAUUAUUUUUCUCUGUUUAAAGGGAAACAGGAGCUCUGGAAGAUGAUGUGACAUUUCUAGGGUCGUAAGGCAAAGUAGCUACAAAGUAGCAAUCAAACCUAGGUCUUGUGAUUUCAGAUCUGGUUCUCUUUACAUUACAGGACAGUUCCUAGAAUAGUUGCAACUAAUGUUUUCUGUUUUCUCCAAAUCUAUCCCCUGAUCCCCUAACCCACACAAGCAGUGAAAACACCACAUUUAUGUGUAGGCUGCUGUGUGACACGAAGAAGCAUGUAAUUGUAGUGUUCCAUUUUUCCCAAUCUUGUCAUCAAGCCACAGAUGCCUUCUGUUCCUUGGUGCUACCUCCCCUCCAGGUAUUCUCCGUCUCCGGGCCAUAGGUCCUUUGUUUUCAUUUUGAAGGAGCCCUGCCGUCCCUCACAUGGAGAGCAGUGAGAGGCUGAAGAGCAGUGGUUGGAUGAAGAAGAAACUCGUUUAUUCAGCAGAUAUUUGGUGUACACCUGUUAUGUGUUAGCCCUUGGGAACUGAUGAACAAAACAGACACUGUCCUGCCUUCAUGGAAUUAGGCCUUAUAAAGGCCAUUUCAAAAUUAGAGUGGGGUGAGUACUAUGAGGGAGAGGAACAGGUUGUUGCAAAGGGUGUACAGUGGGAGAAACUCAUCACAGUGCCGCUGACUGCUGGGAAAACAGGAGAGGAGAAGGGCACAGGGCUUCCCUGCUUCUCUUUGUGGAUAGACUCUUGCCUUCUCAAGUCUGUUCUUGGCUGAAAUGUCACGAGUGUGCUGGAGCUGCUGGAGCCACUAACACUGUUGUAUCUCUUCCCUCCCCAUCCCCCAAGCUCUGAAAGCCUUGGAAACUCAGAUACCUUGCAUGUACACAAAUAGACCAAUAUAAUUUGAUAACUUGAAAGACCUUUGAGUUCAUUUAGUCUGAGCCCUCAUUUUACAGCUAGGCCUGGUAAUGACUGACCUAGCAUCACACAGGUGGCAGUGCACAGGACUACAAUCCAGGUCAGGUGAAGUGAGUGCCAGCACACCAGUCUGCCAGAUAAUAACAUGAGCCACAAAUUGUGCUGGGCGCGUGGUCUUGAAUGCCGAGUUCAGCCAGCUGAGGUGUGAGUGGCUGGGAGAGGCGUAGACGCAGAAGAGAGACAGGAAGCUGGCCAUCAGAUAGGUCUAAUAGAAAGUGACGUGCUUUGGCAUUGAAAUGCCAUUAUGUAUCUUUAGACAUCCGGGCUUUUCCAGAGAAAAACAGGGAUGCACAAAUUGGCGAAACUGACAACCGAAUGUGUAUAGAUGCUGAGAAAUGUCAACAUUGAAAAAUGACAAUUUUGAAUUUUCAUAGUCUAAUAGAAUGCCAAGCUUCCUUGGGAAAACUGUUAUUCUUAUAUCUGGAGUCGUCUUGUUGUGUAGAAAUUCGUACUUAUGCCUGAAGAUUAAAUUAACAAAGCUUCAGAAAUUCUGUACAUGGGCUAUUAACAGAAUAUUUCAUAUUCAUUUUCAAAUAUUCCUAUGAUUGUAUUAUUUCCUUUUAUUAAAUGACUACCAAAGUAACAGGCCAUUUCUAAAACUGUACUCGAUAUCUCUUCUCUAAAAUUUGUCCUAAGAAACUUAUAUUUUUAAACUCUUUCUGAGCAACCUAUUAACCUAAGAAACUUACAUACAGUAUCAUAAACUCAUAUUACAUCAAAAUAUGUAUAGAAAUGUGUGUAUGUAUAGAAAUAGUACAUUUAAAAAGUUUGGGGGCCGGCCCCGUGGCUUAGCGGUUAAGUGUGCGCACUCCGCUACUGGCGGCCCGGGUUCGGAUCCCGGGCGCGCAUCGAUGCACCGCUUCUCCGGCCGUGCUGAGGCCGCGUCCCACAUACAGCAACUAUAAGGAUGUGCAACUAUGACAUACAGCUAUCUACUGGGGCUUUGGGGGGAAAAAAAAAAAGGAGGAGGAGGAUUGGC